rnacentral:rRNA from 1 species
ACCCGCUGAACUUAAGCAUAUCAUUCAGCGGAGGAAAAGAAACCAACAGGGAUUGCCUCAGUAACGGCGAGUGAAGCGGCAAGAGCUCAGAUUUGAAAUCGGCCAACCGGCUGAGUUGUAAUCUGUAGAGGAAGGUUCGGCUGAAGUGUUGGCUAAAGUCUUCUGGAAGGAAGCGCCGAAGAGGGUGAGAGCCCCGUUUAGCCCGCGUCUGAUGCCAUGUGUACCUCCUUCGAAGAGUCGAGUUGUUUGGGAAUGCAGCUCAAAAUGGGUGGUAAAUUCCAUCUAAAGCUAAAUAUAAGCCAAAGACCGAUAGCGCACAAGUAGAGUGAUCGAAAGAUGAAAAGCACUUUGGAAAGAGAGUGAAACAGUACGUGAAAUUGUUGAAAGGGAAGCGCUUGUAGUCAGACUUGCACGCAGUUGUUCAACUGUUCAUUGGACAGUGUACUCAAUUGUGUUCAGGCCAGCAUCGGUUUGGGCGGCUGGAUAAAGUCUUGAGAAAUGUGGCCUUUCGGGGUGUUAUAGUCUCUUGAACAAUACAGUCAGCCUGGACCGAGGACAGCGUUCGCUAGGAUGCUGGCGUAAUGGCUAUCAGCGACCCGUCUUGAAACACGG